rnacentral:rRNA from 1 species
AACGAACGCUGGCGGCAUGCCUAACACAUGCAAGUCGAACGAGACCUUCGGGUCUAGUGGCGCACGGGUGCGUAACGCGUGGGAAUCUGCCCUUCGGUUGGGAAUAACUGAGAGAAAUUUCAGCUAAUACCUUAUAAUGUCUUCGGACCAAAGAUUUAUCGCCGAGGGAUGAGCCCGCGUAGGAUUAGGUAGUUGGUGGGGUAAUGGCCUACCAAGCCGACGAUCCUUAGCUGGUCUGAGAGGAUGAUCAGCCACACUGGGACUGAGACACGGCCCAGACUCCUACGGGAGGCAGCAGUGGGGAAUAUAGGACAGUGGGCGAAAGCCUGAUCCAGCAAUGCCGCGUGAGUGAUGAAGGCCUUAGGGUUGUAAAGCUCUUUUACCCGGGAUGAUAAUGACAGGACCGGGAGAAUAAGCGCCGGCGAACUCCGU